GCCUAAGCCAAUGUCUAGAAAGGUUUUUCCGAUGUUAUCUUCUAGAAUUUUUAUAGUUUCAGGUCUUAGGUUUAGGUCUUUAACCCAUCUUGAGUUGACUUUUGUAUAAGGUGAGAGAAGAGGAUCCAGUUUCGUUCUCCUACAUGUGGCUAGCCAAUUAGCCCAGCACCACUUGUUGAAAGGGUUGUCCUUUCUCCACUUUAUGUUUUUGUUUGCUUUGUUGAAGAUCAGUUGGCUGAACAGCUAGAACUUUCACUUUAUGGGGCUGACAAAGAAAAUCACCAUUUGCUGAAAAGGAAUGGGGCUUGGCCCCCAGCUAGACGCGAGAUGGCUCGUUUUCAGAGAACAAAGGAGAGGGAAGAAGAUAGGUGUUCCUUGAACAUCUACUAUGUGAGAAACACCACCCAGGGCACUGCACCUGCCUGUGUUGGAAAGAGGAUGCAACCAUCCCCAACAGGGAAGGGUGGAAAAUGCUGCACUGUGCAUGGGCUCACAAGGAAGAUACAUAAUGUACAGCCGAAUCUACAGUCUCCUAUUUUGUCAGCUGCUUGUGUUGAUUAAAACUUCAAUAAAGAUCCUGUGAUAAAACAGAGCUAUGUUCAAAGGAUCCUGUUAUGUUUUUAAAGGGCUGAGCUUGGCAGAAAACAUGUAGAGUAUAGCUUUGUACCUUGGUAUUU
rnacentral:lncRNA from 1 species